AGCAGUAGCCGCGGGAAAACAGAGGGUGCGAGCGUUAAUCGGAAUUACUGGGCGUAAAGCGCGCGUAGGUGGUUUGUUAAGUUGGAUGUGAAAUCCCCGGGCUCAACCUGGGAACUGCAUCCAAAACUGGCAGGCUAGAGUAGGGCAGAGGGUGGUGGAAUUUCCUGUGUAGCGGUGAAAUGCGUAGAUAUAGGAAGGAACACCAGUGGCGAAGGCGACCACCUGGGCUCAUACUGACACUGAGGUGCGAAAGCGUGGGGAGCAAACAGGAUUAGAUACCCCCGUAGUCCCUGUCUCUUAUAC
rnacentral:rRNA from 1 species